AACGAACGCUGGCGGCAUGCCUAACACAUGCAAGUCGAACGGGAUCCUGGUUUCGGCCAGGUGAGAGUGGCGGACGGGUGAGUAACGCGUGGGAACCUGCCCAGUGGUGGGGGAUAACUGCGGGAAACUGCAGCUAAUACCGCAUGAGCCCGCAAGGGGAAAGAUUGAUCGCCAUUGGAGGGGCCCGCGUUCGAUUAGGUAGUUGGUGAGGUAACGGCUCACCAAGCCUUCGAUCGAUAGCUGGUCUGAGAGGAUGAUCAGCCACACUGGGACUGAGAUACGGCCCAGACUCCUACGGGAGGCAGCAGUGGGGAAUAUUGGACAAUGGGGGCAACCCUGAUCCAGCAAUGCCGCGUGAGUGAUGAAGGCCUUCGGUUGUAAG
rnacentral:rRNA from 1 species